UAUUAAAAAUUUCAUCAAUUUCUACUAUUAAAAACUAGCAUAGCUAAUGAAAUAACCAGAUAAUUAUAUGUGGUACCACGUGGACCUCAUGCAGACAUAUAAAGACUAACUUUUAACAAUAGAAACAAAUGAAAUUUCUUAACA
rfam:Gossypium raimondii Chr03_contig_24, whole genome shotgun sequence.